rnacentral:tRNA from 1 species
GCCCGGGUGGCGAAAUUAGGUAGACGCAAGGGACUUAAAAUCCCUCGACCGAAAGGUCAUAUCGGUUCGAUUCCGAUCCCGGGCACCA